rnacentral:sRNA from 1 species
UCUCGUCUAAGUGGUGCAGUCCCAACCUCUAAAACACCGAUGUAGCUCUUAAGCUACGCCUCUUUGUAAAUAAACUUCUUUAAAACA